UCCAGAGCCACUUUAGAAAUGUUUUUUUUCCGAAGGAGGAGACAGAGCACACGCGGAGCUGCGAGGGAAUCGGGGACCCCGCACCCCGCAGGCGCACGGUGGGUUCUCCUGCCUCGGACGAAACGCACACAGGUUCCUGCUCUCUUCCAGACCUGCAGUCCCGCGCACAGAACUCAGCACUUCCCGGGAGCGCGCCUCGAAACUUCGUGAUCGGUUUUGCUCGGGGCUGAACAGCACGGGCAUUUGUGAAGUUCAAGUUUUUAGAAAAGCCAGCAGAGGCGAGGUCUCCACCGACACAGAUCCAAGCGCGUCCAGGGUGGCCAGGGGUGGCCGCGCCCCAGAGGACGGGACCCGCGCAGAGAGAAAGAAACGAGCUGGGCAAGAAGGUGAAAACCACAGCGAGGAGGUGUAUUGACGAGUUGCGGGGCACUUUGUUAGUGGCCAGUUAUUGCUUCAAGGACUGGGCACCAUGGGGACGAGUCCAGUGUUGCACCUCCAACCUGAGUAGCAGUAAGAACUACUCACUUCAUCUCAUGCCCUUAUUUUACAGACUAGAGGCCCAAUGCACAAAAUUCGUGUAAGGGGCUUGGCCCUCCCAGCCACGGCGGCUUGCCUCGGUCCUCAUCCUCGCAGGCCCAGCUUCAUCCAGAAGGACGUCUGGAAGGUCGUUUGGCUGUCCGAUCUAAUUAGCAUAUUACCCUUUUAUUAUUAUAGAUGAGUUUUUACCCAGGUCAAUCGGUUUGUUGAUGAUAGAACUCAUUCGGAGCUAAAUGUCCCUGACCUUCUCUCUGGUGUUUGUUUUCUGCAGCAAGAGACUGAUUCUGCCUUAAGGUAGAGCGGCCUGCGUGGCUACUCCCACUGAUUGGCUGUCUCGGAGGAAGUUGGCUUCCUCACCUACCUGUUGUCCUGUCCGUGAGCUUCUGUCCCAGCUUCCGCUCUGGGCCAAGGCAGCUGCUGGGGAGGCUCUACUCCAAAACUCACGUGCUGCCUGGAGCUGAUGCCAACUGGUGGCUAACCUUGUGAAUUCGUUUCCUAAAGCUGACAGGACAGAAUCUUUAAGCUCACGGGGUUGGUAAGCCACAAACAGGCAGACAGUUUUUCUGAACUACAAAUUUUCCAAACUCCCGGAAUCACCAUAUUUCUCCACUGGCAUAGAGGAAGAGGAUGAUGAAGAAUUAAGCCUUCAUUGUUCGUGCCAAGAAACCCAGAUUAUUAUGAGAACUAGGACUGACAUUAUUUGUGCAGCAGAGCAGAAAACCAGGGACUAGGCUUCCUGCUGCCAUGAACUAGCUGGGCAAGCCUCUUCACCUCUCCCGGCCUUAGUGCUCUCUUCUGUACAAUGGGAAAAGUAGUUCUAACCUUGUCUACGUCGCUGAGCUGCUAUGGGGGUGAAAUGCAACCCUGCUUGGUUACCUACAAGGAUGUGAUGAUGCCCCUGAUGAUCCUGGCAAUCAAUCAUUGAAAGCAUGACUGUGAAAGAACAAAAAAUCCUGUGUUUCUAAAGGGUAAAAAGGUACAUGAACUAAGCUCAUUCUAUUGGUCAGAUAAUGCCCAGAGAAAACCUUUUUCCCUAAUCCUUGAAACCUUAGUCCUAAACAGAAAAUAAAAGGCAAUAUUGCCCUUUCAUAUUCUCUUUCUCACUUGAAAAUUGGGUGUCUGGUUUCUGGUGGUUUCUUAUUAGGAGAGCAGUUUCAAGAAUACCUCAACUUAACUGACAUGUGUUCACACAUUCAAGUCUAAGGCAUAUAUAGCCUAACACGUGCUGUGCUGCAUCCGUUUUCUACUUCUCUGUCAGUCAAAAUGGCACUAUGGUUGGGUAACUUUUAAAUGUGAGAUAAUCUCAUUUCCCUCCAUAUUUUAGGAAGUACUAUCAUAAGAUAGAUCCACUGUCAACAAUGUUUCUCUACUAGACUAAUAAUAAUUUUUAAUUUGUGUUUGCAACCCCAGGAACUAAAACAAGGCCUAGAAUAGAGUAGAUGAUGAGUAAAUAUUUGUUGAAUGAAUGAGUUUUUACUCUAUUGUUGUGGUAGGCAAAAUAAAUCCCCCACCCCUGCUCAAGAUGUCUACAUCGUAAUUCCCAGAACCUUUGAGUAUAUUACUUUACAUAGCAAAGGGACUUUCCAAUGUGAUUAAAUUAAGAAUCUUGGGAUAGGGAGAUUUAUGUGGAUUCUCUGGGUAGGCCCAAGGUAAUCACAGGGUCCUUAUAAGUGAAAGAGGGAGGUGGGAGGACAGAGAGUCAGAAUCAGAGAAGAAGAUAGACAUCAAGGUUGGAGUGAUGCAGGGCCACGAGCCAAGAAAUAUGAGGAAACUCUACAAGCUGGGAAAGGCAAGGAGAUAAGUUCUCCCAUAGAGCCUCCAAAAAAGCACAGUCUUACAGACCCUUUUAUUUUAGCCCAUUUCUGUUUUCCAGAACUGUAAGAUAAUAAAUGUGUAUCAUUUUAAGCCAGAAGUUUGUGGUAAUUUGUCACAUACCAAUAGAAGACUAAUACAUUAACAUUAAUAAGCCACAUAACAAGUCUUUUUUAUUGAGAUACUAGAAGCCCGUUGCAUG